rnacentral:SRP_RNA from 1 species
GUAUGAUUAUUUGAGCAAUAUUAUUUUGUAAACCCAGUCAGGUCUGGAAAGAAGCAGCUGUAGCAAAUUUAAUAUGUGUAAAAAAUAAUCAUGCUCU